GUCUAACCUGCCCACUGAAAAUUUAAAUGGCCGCAGUAUUUUAACUGUGCAAAGGUAGCAUAAUCAUUAGUCUUUUAAUUGAGGGCUGGAAUGAAUGGUUGAAUGAGAUAUUAACUGUUUCAAUAUAAUUUUUAGAAUUUUAUAUUUUAGUGAAAAAGCUAAAAUUUUUUUAAAAGACGAGAAGACCCUAUAAAUCUUUAUAUUUUUUGAUUUAUAUAUGUAUAGAUAAUUUUAUUUAUAAUUCUAAAAAUUAUUUUAUUGGGGUGAUAUUAAAAUUUAAUAAACUUUUAAUGUAUAAUAUCCAUUAAUGCAUGAAUUAUUGAUCCAUAAUUAAUGAUUAAAAAAUUAAGUUACUUUAGGGAUAACAGCGUAAUUUUUUUGGAGAGUUCUUAUUAAUAAAAAAGAUUGCGACCUCGAUGUUGGAUUAAGAUAUAGAUUUAGGUGUAGUGGCUUAAAUUUU
rnacentral:rRNA from 1 species